CUUUCUGAGGUGUAAUCCUUAUAACAAGAUGGCAGGUUACCUCCCCAUCUCCAAAAUAUUGUGAAGUUUCUGUGACUAUAGUCUCAGGGUGAACUAUAUGGAAUAAUUAUUAUACAUGACUUGCUGAGAUGCUCUUUGCCUAAGAGAAGGUACAGAAUUCAGAAGUGCCUUGCCCUGGCUGCAGACUUGUGAAAGAGCUCAGUUCCUUGUCUUAGACCCACUGCUGAACCUUUAAAUAUCCAAAGUGUUUAAUCUGUGGAAGUAAUUGUAACCAAUGAAGACAACACC
rnacentral:lncRNA from 1 species